UAAUAGCCUACGGGAUAAUUGUCAAGCGC
rnacentral:sRNA from 1 species